GGUCCCACGGGGAGGUGGGAGGCCCAGGGCCAGCAAGCCUAAGAAGGGGCCAGGUCCCGAGGGGUGGGGUGGCCACGCGGGGGACUUGAGGACAGCAGACAGCCCCCAAAGACUGGGGGCUGAGGCACCCCGGCUCCCUGGGCAGGAGCCCUCAUGGCCUUUAGUGCAGGAGCAUGCGCCACCGUCUGCAGCGGGAAUCAAGAACCCUGGGGGCCACAGGUCACAGACACGUGUGCACCGGCGGUGGGGCGGACAGGCCCCAGAUGCCCCUCCACAUCCGAGGACCAAGGACGUCCUCCUCUUCCCUGCCCUGUGGCUCCGCCUUGCUGCCCCGGGGGACCUGGACGCCCAUGGGACCCUCGUGACACUAGAAAAUUCAGCACCGGGCACCCCCCCUUGAGGGGGUGUCGUGUUUGCAUGAAGUCUGCCCCCUGGGGACCGGUGACUGGGGUGUCCCCCCCCACCCCUGAGCACACAGGGUAAACUGAAGGCAGGGGGAAAAAUACCACAAACACUAUUUGCUUAGAAAUCUGGCUUUUCCAAACGGAAUGCAAAAGACUUCUGUUUUUAUAACUAAACUUUAACCCUGCCAGUAUUGACUUAUGCACUAAA